rnacentral:lncRNA from 1 species
GUCUUUAAACACAGACUUUAAUGGUAACAAUUCUUGAAGCUCAAUUAACCUUAGCUAUUACAAGUGUUAUGCCGAUGUCACUAUUAGACAAUAUUUAGUGACUUGCACUGGGUUCCUCAUAAAAGAGAGACAAAUUCACUUAAAACUAUAAUCAACAAUCAUUUAACAGUUUUGUUACGCCAACACAAACCAUGGCUAAUCUGAGUCACUUCGAAAAUCACUAACACAGGAUGGUCAAUAUCUGAAGUAUGUCAACUAAACCAUUAAAAAAAAAAAGUGAGUGUUUCACUACCCCUGAGACCACCAGUUAACUGUGGUUCAUACUUUUAAAAAAUUGUGAGUACACCCACACAAGAAAGCCAAGUAGUUUCUUUUAAAUCUGAUUAUCACAUUGCAAACUUGCCCAGGAAUGAGUCACUUAAAAUGUAAUUUACCAUUACGUCAACUGGACUAUAAUCCUCACAGGUUAAGAUAAACAACAUAAUUUAAAACUUAAUUAUGCAUUAAAAGAUGUAAGAAACAGGAAGAACCAAAAUCAAUUUUUAAUGUUAAUCAUCAUUUCAGUGCUAUACAUGGCACUAUUAGUAUAUAUGGGGGAAAGGACAAAUUCUUGGAUUCUUUAGAAGG